rnacentral:rRNA from 1 species
UACAGGGGGUGCAAACGUUGCUCGGAAUCAUUGGGCGUAAAGCGCACGUAGGCGGUCUGUUAUGUCGGAUGUGAAAGCCCUUGGCUCAACUGAGGAAGUGCAUCCGAAACUGGCAGGCUAGAGUACGAAAGAGGAUCGCGGAAUUCCCGGUAUAGAGGUGAAAUUCGUAGAUAUCGGGAGGAACACCGGCGGCGAAGGCGGCGAUCUGGGUCGAUACUGACGCUGAGGUGCGAAAGCGUGGGGAGCAAACAGG